UACGGAGGAUCCAAGCGUUAUCCGGAUUUAUUGGGUUUAAAGGGUGCGUAGGCGGAUUGAUGAGUUAGAGGUGAAAUGUCCGAGCUCAACUCGGGAACUGCCUCUAAUACUGUUGAUCUAGAGAGUAGAUGCGGUAGGCGGAAUGUAUGGUGUAGCGGUGAAAUGCUUAGAGAUCAUACAGAACACCGAUUGCGAAGGCAGCUUACCAAUCUAUAUCUGACGUUGAGGCACGAAAGCGUGGGGAGCAAACAGG
rnacentral:rRNA from 1 species